AAAAAGGGUGCUCGUCACUUUAAUGGCGCAUCGGAUCGUUACUGAUCCGGUGGGGUAUGGCUAUCAAGGCAUACCCAGUACAUAAUUUUUGAGAACGUGAGGCUGUUGGCUGCCACAUUUUUAGCACCGGCGCCUCC